GAUGAACGCUGGCGGCGUGCCCAAUACAUGCAAGUCGAGCGAACGGACGAGAAGCUUGCUUCUCUGAUGUUAGCGGCGGACGGGUGAGUAACACGUGGAUAACCUACCUAUAAGACUGGGAUAACUUCGGGAAACCGGAGCUAAUACCGGAUAAUAUUUUGAACCGCAUGGUUCAAAAGUGAAAGACGGUCUUGCUGUCACUUAUAGAUGGAUCCGCGCUGCAUUAGCUAGUUGGUAAGGUAACGGCUUACCAAGGCAACGAUGCAUAGCCGACCUGAGAGGGUGAUCGGCCACACUGGAACUGAGACACGGUCCAGACUCCUACGGGAGGCAGCAGUAGGGAAUCUUCCGCAAUGGGCGAAAGCCUGACGGAGCAACGCCGCGUGAGUGAUGAAGGUCUUCGGAUCGUAAAACUCUGUUAUUAGGGAAGAACAUAUGUGUAAGUAACUGUGCACAUCUUGACGGUACCUAAUCAGGAAGCCACGGCUAACUACGUG
rnacentral:rRNA from 1 species